AGAUAACAUUUGACCUCGGAUGGGUUAAUAAUAAAUAUCAUUUGACCUCAAUUGGGUCAAUCAUAAAGCCGAUGUGGCUCAACAUAAUGAAUAAACAUUAAGUUAUUGAAGUAACCCAAUUUUAAUAAUCAGAUCGAUUGGCCAAAAAUAAAUCAAUCUUAAUAAUUUCAAUAUUCAUACUAAAGAUUUAAGAAGUACCUUCACUUGAGUUCGGAGUGGGCAGGUCGGGUUUCUGCAUGUCUAAUAGGAUUUCAACCUGCAGUGCCUCAAUUUCUUCCCUUUUAAGGGCAUAUUGUCUAAGAAUAGACUUAGAACAUAAAUCUUUUUGCACCGUUGUUACGAAGUCCAAUCCAUAGAUUUAAGUGCUUCACAUUGGACAUUCACAAAGUUGAACAUUAAUCAUUUAUGAGGUCCAAUCUGGAGAUUGGAUGUCUCACAUUAAUCAUUUAUGAGGUCCAAUUCA
rnacentral:lncRNA from 1 species